rnacentral:rRNA from 1 species
GAAACCAACAGGGAUUGCCCUAGUAACGGCGAGUGAAGCGGCAACAGCUCAAAUUUGAAAUCUGGCUCUUUUAGAGUCCGAGUUGUAAUUUGCAGAGGGCGCUUUGGCUUUGGCAGCGGUCCAAGUUCCUUGGAACAGGACGUCACAGAGGGUGAGAAUCCCGUACGUGGUCGCUGGCUAUUGCCGUGUAAAGCCCCUUCGACGAGUCGAGUUGUUUGGGAAUGCAGCUCUAAAUGGGAGGUACAUUUCUUCUAAAGCUAAAUAUUGGCCAGAGACCGAUAGCGCACAAGUAGAGUGAUCGAAAGAUGAAAAGCACUUUGGAAAGAGAGUCAAACAGCACGUGAAAUUGUUGAAAGGGAAGCGCUUGCAGCCAGACUUGCUUACAGUUGCUCAUCCGGGUUUCUACCCGGUGCACUCUUCUGUAGGCAGGCCAGCAUCAGUUUGGGCGGUAGGAUAAAGGUCUCUGUCACGUACCUCCUUUCGGGGAGGCCUUAUAGGGGAGACGACAUACUACCAGCCUGGACUGAGGUCCGCGCAUCUGCUAGGAUGCUGGCGUAAUGGCUGUAAGCGGCCCGUCUUGAAACACGGACCAAGGAGUCUAACAUCUAUGCGAGUGUUUGGGUGUCAAGCCCGAGCGCGUAAUGAAAGUGAACGGAGGUGGGAACCCGCAAGGGUGCACCAUCGACCGAUCCUGAUGUCUUCGGAAGGAUUUGAGUAAGAGCAUGGCUGUUGGGACCCGAAAGAUGGUGAACUAUGCUUGAAUAGGGUGAAGCCAGAGGAAACUCUGGUGGAGGCUCGCAGCGGUUCUGACGUGCAAAUCGAUCGUCAAAUUUGGGCAUAGGGGCGAAAGACUAAUCGAACUAUCUAGUAGCUGGUUCCUGCCGAAGUU